CCCUCUACAAUCCAUAACCUUCUCUUUUCCAGCACAGCCUUUCACAGCUGCCAGGACAGAGGAAUGCCAAAACAAGGCCAGUGCCUCUGGGUGCAUUUCAAGGUGGGUGGAAGAAGACGCGCUUAACCAUAAACUCCAGAGUUCCCAUGAGCAACAAGGAGAAUAGAAGACUCAUGAGCUAUUUCUGCACAUUUUCUGCCACUGGACCUCAGAAGCCAUUUUCAUAUUUCAAGGUUUUAUUCACAGUCUCCUGGUGGUACAAGUGUCAAGGACUGACUGACAGACACUUUAUAGUUUUUUUAAUUUUAUUUUUUAUGUUCAUUGGAGUUGCUUGUUUUGUUUGUAAUGGAGAACUUUUGUAACUAAGCAUCAAGAAUUCAUGUCUCAGAUCCUGCAUUUGAGUCUAAAACAUGAUUUGGCUAGCACAGAAUUGUAGUUUAUGAUGUUGUAAGAGAGCUCUGAUUAUGCGUACAUAAUAGAGCACUGCAGUUUAUCCACCUCAGGAGUUAGCACUCUAUGAGAACUGCCUAGACUACUUGUACAACCAAGCUUUUAAUUUCCUUUUGUGGGAAACAAGUGAGUCAUAGCUUUUAUAAGUAUUUGAGCUAUGAAAUCCACGAGUGAGAACAUUUCUGGGAAGCAAUAUAAAAAGCACGUGAAUAUGUUUUAAAUGUGUUUUCCUUAGACUUUGAAGAUAUAUUCAUGGAGUUCUCCUUUGCCUUGGCUAUUUAUUCCGCUCUGGUCUUCCAGGAGAAAAAACGUCUGAAAGUAGGGGCUCUCUAAGUUAAGUCAACAGAUAAGAUUACAGAACUGCAUGUGCCAGGAACCUGGAAACUCUGUGGAUACCACUUCAGUGCCCGAUUUCCCUUACACAUACAUUUCCUACCCAGUUCAUCCCCUCUUAGCCAGACCAGGACUGUCCUACUGUUCCAUACAGCAGCUGCCACAACAAGGGCUUGAUUUAAUGAAUGCUACAGGAAUAUGAAUAAUUGCACAGACAGUUAUUUCUCAAGUACUGCAGAAAUUUGAUUGCUGUUUUUUUUAUCUCAUCAGACUGGAAAUAGCAUUAAAACCAACUCUUUUUUUAAUGGAUAUUUCGCAGAAAAACCUGCCAUUAAGGUAGACCACAAUUAUUAGAAGCCUCUGUAUGUUGAAAAAUCCAUAAAAGAAACAGUGAGACUCACUUUCUAGCUGUGUAUAACUACAUUUCGCAAAAUAAAAAGUAAAAAAUAAAUAGAAUGUUUAAGAUG
rnacentral:lncRNA from 1 species